rnacentral:rRNA from 1 species
UAGGGAAUCUUCGGCAAUGGACGAAAGUCUGACCGAGCAACGCCGCGUGAGUGAAGAAGGUUUUCGGAUCGUAAAACUCUGUUGUUAGAGAAGAACAAGGACGUUAGUAACUGAACGUCCCCUGACGGUAUCUAACCAGAAAGCCACGGCUAACUACGUGCCAGCAGCCGCGGUAAUACGUAGGUGGCAAGCGUUGUCCGGAUUUAUUGGGCGUAAAGCGAGCGCAGGCGGUUUCUUAAGUCUGAUGUGAAAGCCCCCGGCUCAACCGGGGAGGGUCAUUGGAAACUGAGAGACUGAAGUGCAGAAGAGGAGAGUGGAAUUCCAUGUGUAGCGGUGAAAUGCGUAGAUAUAUGGAGGAACACCAGUGGCGAAGGCGGCUCUCUGGUCUGUAACUGACGCUGAGGCUCGAAAGCGUGGGGAGCAAACAGG